CACUCUUUUAUUUUAUUUUAGUUAUUUUUUUAGUCAGGAUCUGGCUUUGUAGUCCAGGCUGGCCUUGAACUACUCACUAUGUAGCCCAGGCUGGCCUCAAACUCAGCAAACCUCCUGCCUCAGCCUCCAAAGUGCUAGGAUUAUGGACAUGCACUACCAUACCAGGUUUUCAGCCCAGCAUGGUGAGUAGUUUGGAGUUGUUCCUUCUGACACAGUCUCUCCUCAUUCUACUCUGAGCCAGGGAUUCUGACCACUGCAGACUGUAUCAUGAAAGUCCUGUUUUCCAUGGCUUUCACUGGGGCUUGGCCAAUGGACACAGCAGGAAAAGAGGACAGGAGAGAGCCCUAGGGUCUUGAUUCCUCUGGCUCCUUCUCUGCCUGCCAACAGUUUUAGUAAUAAGUAUAUUCCUUUUCCUAGUCUAUUUUGUGCUACUCUGUCUUAAUACUGGAACAGAUAAUUCACAAUCAACAAAAAUUAAUCACUCAUUGUUCUGGGAGGUGGGAAGUCUAAGAUCCAGGAGCUGGCAUCCCACAGCAGAAUACAGAAGGACAAGACAGCAAGCACUGAGGAACAAGGGAGGAGAAAGGCAGCCAAGUUUGCUUUUAUAACAAACCUACUCCCACAAUAACAACACUAAUCAUGACCUGAUCACCUCAAGACAGAGACAGACAGACAGCAAGGAAGAGGGAAGGGAGCAGAACUUACUUUUCAAUAACAAAACUACUCCCAUAAUAAUGACAUUGUCUUAAAAACACUUUCUCAUUGCUGGGACAGAAUACCCAGCACUCACAUCCUAAAAGAAGGAUAGGAUUAUUUUGGCUCAUGGUUUUUAGACAAUUCAGUCCACAGUCAACUGGCUCCAAUGCAAGGAGGUCAUGGUAGAAAGUUCUGGUGGACACAAGCUGCUCACAUCACAGCAGCCAGAGAGCAGAGAGAGAAGGGAGGAGUCAGGGAGGAGGAUGGAUCCUUCCAGGUUGUAUUCCCAGUACCUACCCCCAAACAGACCCUGCCUGUACUUUUGAG
rnacentral:lncRNA from 1 species